UUUGACCUCAGACUGAGUCUAUGCGUGGGAGGGGAGCGGUAGAUUAUUUCUUUAGUCUUCUUGUCCGUUGUCGCACUUGUUUUUUUCACCCUUUUGCACGUUGUCAGAGGCAGACAGAGAAAUUUUAUAGUCUUUGAGUUUUGGAUUUCAAUGGUUUCCUCUUUCAAUUCUGAUUUUUGAUAUUUGCUCUCAUAAUUUCUUCUUCAUAUUCUACUGUCAACAUUUUCAUAGGGAUUAAUCGAAAAUUGUGUUUCAUCAAUUGAAGAAUUAAGGGUUCGUACUUCGUUCCUGUACUGGAUUCUUGGUGAGGAAUCGCUUCUUUUGGUACAUUGAAUUAUUUGUGAUUUACUCUCUUUUUGGUACUAAAUUUUUUCAUUUUAAGUAAGAUUAUACUGUUUAUUUGAUCACCCAUUUGGCUUUUCCUGUUAAGAAGUGCAAUUAUUUGGUAUGAUUGGUAUUCAUACUGGGUUUAUUGUUAUUGUUGUUUUCUUUUUGGGUUAUUUUUCCAGUCCAUUGUCUCGAACAUGGCGAGUUUACUUUGAAGAUGUAGAUAUUAUAGACUAGAUAGGCAGUGUAUAAGUUAUGGGUUGUGUUUAUGGUAAAUGCUGUAAACGUCAUCAUGGUAAAGGUCGUGAAAAUAGUGAGGCAUAUGGCCAAUCAGGUGUCCAUGGAAUACCUGUCUUUGCUGAAAGUUCAUUAGAAUAUGCUCCUGUGCCUUUUCACAACUUUUGUUUGGAGUAUUCCGUCCUUACUCAGCGAGGGCAUUAUCCGGACUCGCCUGAAAAAGAGAAUCAAGAUUGUUAUAUAGUUAGGACACAAUUGCAUGAUAACCCAAAUAUUCAUUUCUUUGGAGUGUUUGAUGGACAUGGGCAAUUCGGUGCUCAGUGCUCGAAUUUUGUUAGGGAUAAGUUGGUAGAACUUUUGUGUAGUGAUUCCACUCUGUUAGAAGAUCCUGUAAAAGCUUAUAAUGAUGCGUUUCUUAAAACGAAUGAGGAGUUGCAUAAUAGUGAUAUAGAUGAUGCCAUGAGUGGUACAACAGCAAUUACUGCUCUUGUUAUUGGGAAUACUCUUUAUGUUGCAAAUGUUGGCGAUUCUAGGGCUGUAAUUGCGAUUAAGAAUGGGGAUAAGAUAGUUGCACAAGAUUUAUCUCAUGAUCAGACUCCAUUUAGGAAAGAUGAAUAUUCGAGGGUAAAGUUGUGUGGGGCUAGAGUGUUGAGUGUUGAUCAAGUGGAGGGUUUGAAGGAUCCGAGUAUACAAACAUGGGGCGAUGAAGAGACUGAUGGCAGUGAUCCUCCAAGAUUAUGGGUUCAAAAUGGAAUGUAUCCUGGCACAGCAUUUACAAGAAGUGUUGGGGAUAGUACAGCUGAAAAAAUAGGUGUUAUAGCUGCUCCAGAAGUAUCAGUGGUUCCACUUACGCCGGAUCAUUUGUUCUUGGUUGUUGCUAGUGAUGGCGUUUUUGAGUUCUUAUCAAGCCAAGCAGUUAUUGAUAUGGUUUCCAGUUAUCAAGAUCCUCGGGAUGCAUGCUCUGCAAUAGUAGGAGAGUCUUACAAGCUAUGGUUGACCCAUGAAAACCGUACAGAUGAUAUAACUAUCAUUAUUGUGCACUUCAAGGGUCUAUCUAGUUCAGAUGUAAGGCCUACUGGUGUAAUGACUAAAGCAGAAGCAAAACUUGUUGGUGUGAGGAUAGAAAAGGCUACUUCUGACACGUCCACUGGAUCGGAGUUCAUCCAGUCAGCAGGAAGUAUUUUAGCAGAUCAGUAUCCUUGUCGACCAAUGAUAUCUGUGGAUGGUAAUGUUGUUGAUGUAUCUCCGUCUCAGCCGGCAUAAAGGGUGAGGUUCGUCUGCAUCUUCUAUGAAAAGGUUCCCUCUUUUUGGUAUUUGCAAGUUGGAGAUGAUUUUUCUGUGUCUAUUCACGGCCGGAGGCCAUCUUAGAUUGAUUCCAAGAAGCGAGGUUCUUUUAUAUUGAUCUAUUCCAUGAAACGGUAGCUGAAAUGGAUAGUCAAAGAAGCUUUCAACCAGAAAAUGGAGAAUGUUAUAUCCAGUAUAAAACAUUCUUUGGCCGGGCUUGCUAUUUGUGUUUUUCCGUUCAAUAAUGGGAGUAGUGUGAAAUCAAUAAAGAUGGGAGUUAGUAUAUAGCAAUAGCAUUCUGCCUUCAUGUUUGCAUGUUUUAGUUGAUUGAGCAAGUCUAGAUUUGCCUGUCAGAGUUGAUCGUCAGGCACAGGCACUUCAGCAGUUUAUCCAUGUUUGGAGUUCGGACUCUCGAUUGUUUCGGUAUUACAUCCGAGAUUAUGCAUCGUCUGUAAUGUAUUUGUCGACUCAAUAGUCAAGUCUAUGUAAAAGGAAAUCCUGCUUCAUCACAACUUUUCAGUUUUCUGUAGGAUUAGUAUUUGUGGGAUAUUGAAAUUAUCCAUAAUGUAUGUAUAUUUUCUUUCGAGCUGUUCUUUUGUGACUUCAAAACUAAGAGUCAAUAUGUUAAUAUUUGUGUCAGUUGGGUUAUUCAACCCAUUUUUGGGGAAUGUUUUAUGAUGAGACUGUCUCACACAAGAAUUUGUGUCCAACUCGUCUUGUAUGAGACCAUUCCAUACAAGUCGUAAUGAAAGAAUUAAUGAUGGAAUUUGAUUUGUUUACAAAAAAAAAAUCAUUAAUACAACAUAUAGAACAACAACAAAUUCCACGUUUCAAGUUUUUUGGGAAGGACAAGAAUAUCAACACCAUGAAGGUAGUACAUCUUGAAUCUACAAAUGUUACUGAUAAUGCGUUCAUUUGAAUUUAUCAUUUGUAGUUCUUUUUAAUGAUCGUUUGAUCAUUGUUACUGUCUUUAUGAAUCAUCAAUUACGAACAUAAUACUCCUUCUUAUUCACCCUAAAUUUCUUAUUUUCUUAGUCAAAUCAC